rnacentral:rRNA from 1 species
UAACACAUGCAAGUCGAACGGUCUUUUAGGAGACAGUGGCGGACGGGUGAGUAACGCGUAAGAAUCUACCUUCAGGUUGGGGACAACCACUGGAAACGGUGGCUAAUACCGAAUGUGCCGAGAGGUGAAAGGCUUGCUGCCUGAAGAAGAGCUUGCGUCUGAUUAGCUAGUUGGUAGUGUAAGAGACUACCAAGGCGACGAUCAGUAGCUGGUCUGAGAGGAUGAUCAGCCACACUGGGACUGAGACACGGCCCAGACUCCUACGGGAGGCAGCAGUGGGGAAUUUUCCGCAAUGGGCGAAAGCCUGACGGAGCAAUACCGCGUGAGGGAGGAAGGCUCUUGGGUUGUAAACCUCUUUUCUCAGGGAAGAACAGAAUGACGGUACCUGAGGAAUAAGCAUCGGCUAACUCCGUGCCAGCAGCCGCGGUAAUACGGAGGAUGCAAGCGUUAUCCGGAAUGAUUGGGCGUAAAGGGUCCGCAGGUGGCAUUGUAAGUCUGCUGUUAAAGAGUUUGGCUCAACCAAAUAAGAGCAGUGGAAACUACAAAGCUAGAGUGUGGUCGGGGCAGAGGGAAUUCCUGGUGUAGCGGUGAAAUGCGUAGAUAUCAGGAAGAACACCAGUGGCGAAGGCGCUCUGCUAGGCCGAGACUGACACUGAGGGACGAAAGCUAGGGGAGCGAAUGGGAUUAGAUACCCCAGUAGUCCUAGCCGUAAACGAUGGAUACUAGGCGUAGCUCGUAUCGACCCGAGCUGUGCCGGAGCUAACGCGUUAAGUAUCCCGCCUGGGGAGUACGCAGGCAACUGUGAAACUCAAAGGAAUUGACGGGGGCCCGCACAAGCGGUGGAGUAUGUGGUUUAAUUCGAUGCAACGCGAAGAACCUUACCAAGGCUUGACAUGUCACGAAUCCUAUUGAAAGAUGGGAGUGCCUUCGGGAGCGUGAACACAGGUGGUGCAUGGCUGUCGUCAGCUCGUGUCGUGAGAUGUUGGGUUAAGUCCCGCAACGAGCGCAACCCUCGUUUUUAGUUGCCAGCAUUAAGAUGGGCACUCUAGAGAGACUGCCGGUGACAAACCGGAGGAAGGUGGGGAUGACGUCAAGUCAGCAUGCCCCUUACGUCUUGGGCUACACACGUACUACAAUGCUCCGGACAAAGGGCAGCUACACAGCGAUGUGAUGCGAAUCUCAUAAACCGGAGCUCAGUUCAGAUCGAAGGCUGCAACUCGCCUUCGUGAAGGAGGAAUCGCUAGUAAUUGCAGGUCAGCAUACUGCAGUGAAUUCGUUCCCGGGCCUUGUACACACCGCCCGUCACACCAUGGAAGUUGGUCACGCCCGAAGUCGUUACCCCAACCUAUUGGAGGGGGAUGCCUAAGGUAGGACUGAUGACUGGGGUGAAGUCGUAACAAGGUAGCCGUA